AGCUUUCUGAACUCAUGCCAAGAUCUCAUCAAACACUAAACCAUCAGGACUGAUGAGACUUCCACGAUAAAAGAAGUG
rfam:Schistosoma mansoni strain Puerto Rico chromosome 1, complete genome